rnacentral:snRNA from 1 species
UUGCCUUAAACUAAUGAGUAAGGAAAAUAACAAGUCUUGGUAACUCAAGAUUUAAGGGCUCAGUCCCUACAUUUCAAUUUUUGAAGGAGAGAGGCCACCCCUGGGGGACUCUUCUACUUAGAGAGACCCUCUUGCGUUUGUGGUCUCC